rnacentral:rRNA from 1 species
GACGAACGCUGGCGGCGUGCUUAACACAUGCAAGUCGUACGGUAAGGCCCUUUCGGGGGUACACGAGUGGCGAACGGGUGAGUAACACGUGAGUAACCUGCCCACAACUUUGGGAUAACGCUAGGAAACUGGUGCUAAUACUGGAUAUGUGCUCCUGCUGCAUGGUGGGGGUUGGAAAGCUCCGGCGGUUGUGGAUGGACUCGCGGCCUAUCAGCUUGUUGGUGGGGUAGUGGCCUACCAAGGCGGCGACGGGUAGCCGGCCUGAGAGGGUGACCGGCCACAUUGGGACUGAGAUACGGCCCAGACUCCUACGGGAGGCAGCAGGGGGGAAUAUUGCACAAGGGGCGCAAGCCUGAUGCAGCAACGCCGCGGGCGGGAUGACGGCCUUCGGGUUGUAAACCGCUUUCAGCAGGGACGAAGCUUUUUGUGACGGUACCUGCAGAAGAAGCACCGGCUAACUACGUG